rnacentral:rRNA from 1 species
AUACGGAGGAUCCGAGCGUUAUCCGGAUUUAUUGGGUUUAAAGGGUGCGCAGGCGGCCAUUUAAGUCAGCGGUUAAAUCGUGGGGCUCAACCCCAUUCUGCCGUUGAUACUGGGUGGCUUGAUUGCGGUCGAGGUUGGCGGAAUUCGUUGUGUAGCGGUGAAAUGCAUAGAUAUGACGAAGAACACCGAUUGCGGAGGCAGCUGACCAGACCGCAAAUGACGCUCAUGCACGAAAGUGCGGGGAUCGAACAGGAUUAGAUACCCUGGUAGUCCGCACAGUAAACGAUGAACACUUGUUUUCGGCGAUAUAAUGUCGGAGGCAAAGCGAAAGCGAUAAGUAUUCCACCUGGGGAGUACGCCGGCAACGGUGAAACUCAAAGGAAUUGACGGGG